CAUGCCGCGAUGAGUGAUGAAGGCCCUAGGGUUGUAAAGCUCUUUUACCAGGGAUGAUAAUGACAGUACCUGGAGAAUAAGCUCCGGCUAACUCCGUGCCAGCAGCCGCGGUAAUACGGAGGGAGCUAGCGUUGUUCGGAAAUACUGGGCGUAAAGCGCACGUAGGCGGCGCCGCAAGUCAGGGGUGAAAUCCCGGGGCUCAACCCCGGAACUGCCCUUGAAACUGCAGUGCUAGAAUCCUGGAGAGGCGAGUGGAAUUCCGAGUGUAGAGGUGAAAUUCGUAGAUAUUCGGAAGAACACCAGUGGCGAAGGCGACUCGCUGGACAGGUAUUGACGCUGAGGUGCGAAAGCGUGGGGAGCAAACAGGAUUANAUACCCUGGUAGUCCACGCCGUAAACGAUGAUAACUAGCUGUCCGGGCUCAUGGAGCUUGGGUGGCGCAGCUAACGCAUUAAGUUAUCCGCCUGGGGAGUACGGUCGCAAGAUUA
rnacentral:rRNA from 1 species